rnacentral:rRNA from 1 species
GUGAGACAGUUCGGUCCCUAUCCGCCGCGCGCGUGUGGAGACGUGCGGGGAGCUGUCCCUAGUACGAGAGGACCGGGACGGACGAACCUCUAGUGUGCCAGUUGUCCCGCCAGGGGCACGGCUGGUUGGCCAUGUUCGGCACGGAUAACCGCUGAAAGCAUCUAAGCGGGAAGCCCACCCCAAGAUGACGUCUCCCACCCCACCUCGAGUGGGGAUAAGGCACCCAGCAGACGACUGGGUUGAUAGGCCCGACAUGUACGCACAGCAAUGUGUUCAGUGGACGGGUACUAACCCGCCGAACGGC